UCAACUAAGACUUUAUCCCAAAAAAUUUAUUAGAGCCAGCUAUAUGGAUUCUCUUAUGAAAAACACUAAAGAGAAAGAAAUAUGAAAAAGCCAUGGCAUAUUAAGAAUGCCAGUUACAGCUCCUCAAUUACGACCAUUAGGACUUCAAUAUAGGAUUUUCAUGUAUGUCAAGAUUAUAACUCUCAAUACAAUUCUAGAGUUUCAAAAAUAAGGUCUUCUAGAAACCCUAAUCCUCUUCUUUUCAGCGACAGAUAUUCUCUCAAAUAAAAUUGCUCGUUAAUCUCCCAAAUUGCACCUUAAAAAACUUGAAUCCAGUGAUCUAGAACACCCC
rnacentral:misc_RNA from 1 species